AUGACACACAGCUCAUUUCUUAGCCCCUGGCUGGAUACACAGUUCAAGAUGACAAGGAGCCUAACAGGAUAUGAGGAGAUAUGCAGCUGUCUGUUCACACUGAUCCCUGCACUGACCGGGAGGCAGAGGGAACUUCGGCAGCCGCACUUAGAUGAGAGGUCACGGGUUCAAACCACAGGUGUUGUGCCCUGCAGCAGGACACUUCCCGUCUAAACAGUGUAUACGGUUUUGAGGAAUGCGACUGGAUCAAAGGAGCCAGCCGAUCAAGAUCCAGUUUACACUGUACCUUUUGGAGAGACUUUGGUUAAGCCAUCCUUGUUUAAGCAGUGAGCUGUGACAAAGAUGUAAGCUGUGUUAUUAGCUGGCUUGUCUCAGUGUAAUGAGGUAAGCUAAAGUUUGAGGUGAAAACAACAAAUGAUAUCACACCUAUAACCGAUGACUAGGUUAUCUUGAGGAUCAACGAAAAAAGAUACAGAUAUAUGUUUGACACCCAAGAUAAGAACUUUUAACUAAAUUGACAUGAUGUGCCAUUUGUUGCUUUCAGCCUGCUCAUAACUAGGAUAUGGCUAAUUAGUUAAAACCACAUAAGCGAUUUUGUUUUUUGUUCUCACCUAUUUAGAGCCUAGAUUGAUCAGGAGAUUUUAGCAUUAUGCUGCAACCCAUGUCACAUAAUCACUGAGUGUUUUUCACCAUUACUUUGUGCCUCAGGUGGUGAAGGUCUGCCAUACGACUGCCUCACACCCUUUAGUGGCAAAUAACACAUCAGUGGAGCAGGUGUGGCAUAUCUAGCUGUUGAAAAGUGGGCACCAUAAUGACACAAAGGCAUACAAAUAUGCUCAAUGGGCCAUUGAGCAACUUAUGAGCAAAAUAUGUAUUCUUCAUUUAUAUAUUAAUUACGGUCAAUAAAUUCCAGGUGUUCUGUAACAUUUACACUCAAAUUGGAUUGAUGUAUAUCCAUUUAAAUGCAAGCCAUCUUACACAAAAAUAUGAAAAUAUCUGUU
ensembl:lncRNA